UCCUGGCUCAGGAUGAACGCUAGCGGCAGGCUUAACACAUGCAAGUCGAGGGGUAUAGUUCUUCGGAAUUAGAGACCGGCGCACGGGUGCGUAACGCGUAUGCAAUCUACCUUUUGCAGAGGGAUAGCCCAGAGAAAUUUGGAUUAAUACCUCAUAGUAUAGCAGUUUCGCAUGAAACCACUAUUAAAGUCACAACGGCAAAAGAUGAGCAUGCGUCCCAUUAGCUAGUUGGUAAGGUAACGGCUUACCAAGGCUACGAUGGGUAGGGGUCCUGAGAGGGAGAUCCCCCACACUGGUACUGAGACACGGACCAGACUCCUACGGGAGGCAGCAGUGAGGAAUAUUGGACAAUGGGCGCAAGCCUGAUCCAGCCAUGCCGCGUGCAGGAUGACGGUCCUAUGGAUUGUAAACUGCUUUUGUACAGGAAGAAACACUCCCUCGUGAGGGAGCUUGACGGUACUGUAAGAAUAAGGAUCGGCUAACUCCG
rnacentral:rRNA from 1 species